rnacentral:rRNA from 1 species
GACGAACGCUGGCGGCGUGCUUAACACAUGCAAGUCGAACGGAAAGGCCCCUUUGGGGGUACUCGAGUGGCGAACGGGUGAGUAACACGUGAGUAACCUGCCCUUGACUUCGGGAUAACUUCAGGAAACUGGGGCUAAUACCGGAUAGGAAUCCUUGCUGCAUGGUGGGGGUUGGAAAGCUUCGGCGGUUUUGGAUGGACUCGCGGCUUAUCAGCUUGUUGGUGGGGUAGUGGCUUACCAAGGCUUUGACGGGUAGCCGGCCUGGGAGGGCGACCGGCCACAUUGGGACUGAGAGACGGCCCAGACUCCGACGGGAGGCAGCAGGGGGGAAUAUUGCACAAUGGGCGGAAGCCGGAUGCAGCAACGCCGCGGGCGGGAUGACGGCCUUCGGGUUGGAAACCGCUUUCAGCAGGGGCGAAGCUUGUGGUGACGGUACCUGCAGAAGAAGCACCGGCUAACUACGUG